GACGAACGCUGGCGGCGUGCCUAAUACAUGCAAGUUGAGCGCUGAAGGUUGGUACUUGUCCCGACUGGCUGAGCAGCGAACGGGUGAGUAACGCGUGGGGAAUCUGCCUUUGAGCGGGGGACAACAUUUGGAAACGAAUGCUAAUACCGCAUAAAAACUUUAACCACAGUUUUAAGGUUUAAAAGUGCCGUUGCCUCACUCAAAGAUGGUUCCCCGGUGUAUUAGCUAGUUGGUGAGGUAAAGGCCCACCCAGGCGAUGAUACAUAGCCGACCUGAGAGGGUGAUCGGCCACAUUGGGACUGAGACACGGCCCAAACUCCUACGGGAGGCAGCAGUAGGGAAUCUUCGGCAAUGGACGAAAGUCUGACCGAGCAACGCCGCGGGAGUGAAGAAGGGUGUCGGAUCGUAAAACUCUGUUGGUAGAGAAGAACGUUGGUGAGAGUGGAAAGCUCAUCAAGUGACGGUAACUACACAGAAAGGGACGGCUAACUACGUG
rnacentral:rRNA from 1 species